AUGGCGUCCGUGGGGCCGACCCUCGAGUCCCUCGUCGACCAGGUGAUCUCCAUCAUCACCAACGACGGCCGCAACAUCGUGGGGACUCUGCGCGGGUUCGACCAGGCCACCAACAUAAUCCUCGACGAGUCCCACGAGAGGGUCUACUCCACUAAGGAGGGAGUACAGCAGCUUGUCCUUGGUCUGUACAUCAUCAGGGGUGAUAACAUAGGCGUGGUGGGUGAGGUGGACGAGGAGCUGGACGCGGCGCUGGACAUGUCGAAGCUGAGAGCGCAGCCCCUCAAGCCAGUCAUCCACUGA
rnacentral:rRNA from 1 species